AUACGUAGGUGGCAAGCGUUAUCCGGAUUUACUGGGUGUAAAGGGCGCGUAGGCGGGGGUGCAAGUCAGAUGUGAAAUCUAUGGGCUUAACUCAUAAACUGCAUUUGAAACUGUAUCUCUUGAGUGCUGGAGAGGUAGACGGAAUUCCCGGUGUAGCGGUGAAAUGCGUAGAGAUCGGGAGGAACACCAGUGGCGAAGGCGGGUAACUGGACUGCAACUGACGCUGAGGCGCGAAAGUGUGGGGAGCAAACAGGAUUAGAUACCCUGGUAGUCCACACUGUAAACGAUGAAUGCUAGGUGUAAGAGGUAUCGACCCCUUUUGUGCCGGAGUUAACACAAUAAGCAUUCCGCCUGGGGAGUACGGCCGCAAGGUUGAAACUUAAAGGAAUUGACGGGG
rnacentral:rRNA from 1 species